AGUGAACGCUGGCGGCGUGCUUAACACAUGCAAGUCGAACGAGAACGGAUUAUAGCUUGCUAUAAUUGUCAGCUAAGUGGCGCACGGGUGAGUAAUGUAUAGGUAAUAUGCCUCUUACUAAGGGAUAACAAAUGGAAACGUUUGCUAAUACCUUAUACUCCUUAUUAACAGAAGUUAAUAAGGGAAAGAUUUAUUGGUAAGAGAUUAGCCUGUAUUGUAUCAGUUAGUUGGUGGGGUAAUGGCUUACCAGGACUAUGACACAUAACUGGUUUGGGAGGAUGAUCAGUCACACUGGAACUAAGACACGGUCCAGACUCCUACGGGAGGCAGCAGUGGGGAAUAUUGCACAAUGGACGAAAGUCUGAUGCAGCAACGCCGCGUGGAGGAUGUCACAUUUCGGUGCGUAAACUCCUUUUAUAUGAGAAGAUAAUGACGGUAUUAUAUGAAUAAGCACCGGCUAACUCCGUGCCAGCCGCCGCCGUAA
rnacentral:rRNA from 1 species